rnacentral:rRNA from 1 species
UACGGGGGGAGCAAGCGUUGUUCGGAUUUACUGGGCGUAAAGGGCGCGUAGGCGGCCACCGCAAGUCGACUGUGAAAUCUCCGGGCUUAACCCGGAAAGGUCAGCCGAUACUGCGGGGCCAGAGUGCGGAAGGGGCAAUCGGAAUUCUUGGUGUAGCGGUGAAAUGCGUAGAUAUCAAGAGGAACACCUGAGGUGAAGACGGGUUGCUGGGCCGACACUGACGCUGAGUGCGCGAAAGCCAGGGGAGCAAACGGG